CAAGCCAGGCUGUUCCAGCUUCCUUUGGAAACUUCUGGAUCCCAUCUGGAGAAACAAACGAGCACCAUUUUCUCUGUUUGCUUCCCAGAGUGAAAUACCAGUUCGUGCGAAAGCUCUAGGCAUCGGUGAGUGGUUCCCUCUUCCGUGGGACUGGCCAUGUUCCAGAGAGAAAACGCCCGGCCGCCUCUCCCUGGAGGAACAUGGGAACGGAGCCAGGGCCCGCUGCGAUCGACGGGGCAGGACAGGCAGCAGAACUAGUAUUGGAAGCCUUGAGGUUUGGGGGUCACGUGUUCAUUCCGUCGUACCUGAUUGAUCCAGCUGGGUUCUGCUGGAUACAUUGCCCCCUGUUCCCCACGCCUCCACCCAAACAAAUCUCGAGGGAAUUCUGCUGGGCUCACAGGAUUGUAGAACCCUGUCAGCUCCUGCCCUUCCCGUCCCAAGUGAGCUCACGGAAGAUUUAAGAACAGCCUUUGGGUCUGCAGGUACAGUUCUGUGACCUGUGUUUCCUGUGCUGGAGAGCAAGUUCUCUAAUCAGCUCUGACGUCUCUGGGUGCCAGGACCCUGGUAAUUAGUCACCGGAGAAGUUGCUUCCUGCCACAAUCUUUCAGGCAGAUGUUUUGGACAAAAGGAUGAUGCCAAGUUCACAUCAUGAUGAUAAGGGUCACAGUGCUGGCUUCGCCUCCGCAAAGGCCCCGUUGAAAACCUCUUCCCCACCCAGGAGCAGGGAACCGUGCAGGGCUCCCCUGAGGACUGAGAGGCCCCGUGGGCUCCUGGUGGUCUUAGCGUAAGUGAUGAACAGCACAACUUUGAAGAAAGCCAAUGUUAGUACAAGCUCUUUACACACUACCAGUGCUUUGCUGUAUGUUAUUUUCUAAAACGAGACUCCUUGUCCGUCUGAAAUAGAACGAAACAGAAAAGAAAGAAGGCAUGGGGGGGGGGGGUGACCACGCAGGCGACGCUGACCCUCCGCCUGCCUUCGGCGAGAGGACCCUUUGGUCACUUCAGGAACAAGCAGGAACGGUCCCUCGACCCUUGAUGUCGCCUCUUGGGAAUUUUCCAACCACCAACCCUGAACCGGCUGCUUGGCCAAACAUUCCCACUGCUCCUUCUUGUAUUUCAAUGGAGCCCAGUUCUAUACCGAGGUCGCUUCCACCUUUUAGCUCCAGUUCCAGAAUUACACCUGUGUUUUCCACGUUAGCCCCCAGCUCCGGUUUUUCUAGAACAACUGUCAUUGCUGGUAUCGUUGACGAUAGCUGAUACGCGCAGGACACACAGUGUAUGAAGUUUUUCCAUCACCAUUGUCUCAUUUGAGCCACACACCACCCUGGGAACAGGGUUAGAAAUCCCUUUCUUCAGGAGCGGACACACGCCGGCAUCUCCACGUGGGCUUGUCCGUGGGCACUCAUCGGCUGAGGUGUCAGAAGACUUGAACUUCAUCUCUCCAAAUCCUCUCUCCUUUCUCCCUUUCAACUGGACUCGAACAGCGAGACUUUUUUUUUUUUUUAACCUCCUGACAACUAGGGUGAGAAACAUAAUGAGAACAGUUAAAAGGCUCACGUCUUUGCAAGUGCUUCAGGGUUGAGGACAACCUUCCACGUCCACACCUCCACGUGGAAUUCUGCGAAGGAACCACGUCCCAUUGCAAACGAAGAAACAGGAAUGAGGGUGCAGAGCCGGGACCCUCAAGUCGACCAGCUCCGUCCUAUGGGCUUAGAAACUUCUCUGUGAAACCAUGCUCUUCUCCAGAGACGUUCGCUGCCUUCCAUUGGAAUGAAAGAACCAAACAAGUUUUGAUUGAUUUUUAAAUAGAAGAAACUAGAACUGAAACAAAAAAUGCAACAGUCUGCAGUGGCGGUGGGGUCCCUUGGAAACCUGUCCUCUGCCACCUUCCUCGGCUUCCUGCAGCCGAAGACUGAGGUUGGCUUUUCUUCGAAGUUCUUAUUUUCAUCGUUUAUGUUCC